UCCGCGGGUUUGGUGGAUUGAUU
rnacentral:siRNA from 1 species